UUGGUUGGUCCACACCCUCUUCCCCAUUUCGAUUCUGCUCGCCCCAUCGCCUCUUGCUGAAUCAUGGUCUCAUGCCUAUGCAGGAACUGAAGAUGUCGAUCUCUAGGAACUUGUGUUCAGUUGGCAUCAAGGUGAGGACGUCGACCUGAAGAGCAGAAGCCUAACCUGAUCGCCGAGUGCCAGGGUGCGGACGCGGUGGUAGUCACCUACACCCGCAACAGGUUCUCCAUGCUGAAGAGUCGCAACACAUACUAGAUCCUGGAGCUCAGGCGCAUUCAGGUUAUCUUGCGCCCAAUUGAUUGUUGAAGGCGCAUUUGACUGUGGUGGGGUGUAAGCUGGAACUGAGGGAUGACAAGCAGAACAGCCUUGAGCAGACCAUGGCGCCCAUCAUGUAGUCAUUCCAUGAGGUCGAGACCUGCAUCCGUUUCACCAGAUUCAGGUGAAGAAGACCCCCUUGUCUUAGUGUUUAUACCCUGAAAUUUGUGCUGUUACCACACUUGAUACAGCCAAAAUGCUGA